rnacentral:lncRNA from 1 species
AUGGAACUCGAUGAUGGGAGGCAUACGGCAACACGGGGCCACUGAUCUGGCCUGCUUGAUAAUGGAGAUGUGCGCAGAUGUGAGGAGGGGAGUCGGAGACUGAAGAUGUGUUAUCCACUUACUUAUUUUAGCUAGCAAGAAAAGGACAACAAUAUCCAUCUAUUUUAGCUAGCAAGAAAAGGGCAACCAAGAUUUGUUAUCCAGUUGGUCUACUUACUCGAAAGGGCCCCAAAGAUUUGUUAUCCAGUUGAUCUACUUACUUAUUUUAGCUAGCAAGAA